rnacentral:rRNA from 1 species
UAUUGAAUAUAAGGGCCUAUGGAGGAUGCCUUGACAUAAAGAGCCGAUGAAGGACGUGGCGUGACUGCGAUAAGCCCCGGGGAGGUGUCUAGCAACCUUUGAUCCGUGGAUGUCCGAAUGGGGAAACCCGGCGAUGAUUAAACCCGUCGCCAGUCCCGGCAUUUUGUCGGGAUAGGGAACUCGGGGAAGUGAAACAUCUCAGUACCCGAAGGAAAAGAAAACAAGCCGUUUAAUAACGGCGUAUUCCCUAAGUAGCGGCGAGCGAAAAGGGAAAAGUCCAAACCUAUUUUUAAAUAGGGGUUGCAAGGUAAUAACGUUUCGGAGUUAUUCAGUUCUGUUGCAAAGAACUGAAUCUUCCGGAAGGAGUUUAUUAAAUAAAGACUGGUUAAUUGAAUCUUGCUGGAAAGCAGAACCAGAGAGGGUAAUAGUCCCGUAAAUAAAAAUCUCUUUAUACUCCCAGUUAUUAUUCUUAAGUAGCGCGGGACCAGAAUAUCCCGCGUGAAGCCGGCAGUCCUAAUACUGCCAAGACUAAAUACUCUUUAUGAUCGAUAGUGAACAAGUACCGUGAGGGAAAGGUGAAAAGUAGCCCGGUGAGGGCGGUGAAAUAGAACCUGAAACCAUAGGCCUACAAAGACUCGGAGCCCCGCAGAAAUGCGGGGUGACGGGGUGCUUUUUGCAGAACGAGCCAACGAGUGUAUGCGCGUUGCGAGAUUAAUCCGCCUAAGGCGGAGGAAUCGCAGGGAAACCGAGUUUUAACUAAGCGAAUAAGUAGCGCGUAUACGACCCGAAGCCGGAGCGAGCUAACCAUGGCCAGGGUGAACCCUUCUUAACCGAAGGGGGAGGCCCGCACCCACUGGUCGUUCAACGCCAGGGGAUGAGCUGUGGUUAGAAGUGAAAAGCUAAUCGAGCCCGGUAAUAGCUGGUUCUUCCCGAAAUAGCUUUUGGGCUAGCCUUUUGCUUAUGUUUUUAGGGGUAGAGCACUGGAUGAAGCGAGGCGGUUUUCCGUACUCGCUUCAAUCAAACUCCGAAUACUAAAAACUUUGGCAGAAGAGUUAGACUGCGGGGGCAAAGCUCCGUGGUCGAGAGGAAAACAGUCCAGACUGUCGUCUAAGGUCCCUAAAUUAAUCUAAGUGGUGAAGGAAGUGAAGUUUCUCUGACAGCUAGAAGGUUGGCUUAGAAGCAGCCAUCCUUUAAAGAGUGCGUAACAGCUCACUAGUUCAGAGAUUUUGCGCCGAAAAUUCAACGGGGCUAAAGAUUAAUACCGAAGACACAGCUCUCCCGACGUAAAGUCGGGAGGGGGUAGGGAAGCGUUCUAUAAGCAAUGAAGCUAAACCGCGAGGUUUGGUGGAGUUUAUAGAAGUGAGAAUGUUGGCAUGAGUAACCGCAAUCCCGAUGAGAAAUCGGGACGCCGAAAGCCUAAGGUUUCCUUGGCAAUGAAAAUCAGCCAAGGGUUAGGCGGGCCUAAGUUGCUUCCGAUGAUUAUCGGAUAGACAGCGAUGGACAGACGGUUAAUAUUCCGUCCCUUCGGUGUUUUUUGAUGGGAGGACGAAGUUCAGUAGUCCGAGCGGCUUAUUGGAUUGCCGUUUCCAAUUUAAGGAUGCCUGUUAGGGAAAUCCGGCAGGCCUCGCCUCGAGCGAGAAUCCAAGAGUUGGAAAAAGGUUCUUCUACGGGAGAGCCGAUUCGGGUGAGCGAGCUUCCAAGAAAAGUCCCUAAAAUUAAAAACACCGGAUCCGUACCGAAAACCGACACUGGUGGGCAGGUCNNNNNNNNNNCAAAACAACGUCCGUAAGUUCGCAAUAAGGACUUCCCCGAUGUAAAAUCGGGGACGCAGUUAAAGAUUCCUGGCGACUGUUUAUCAAAAACACAACUCCCUGCUAACUCGCAAGAGGAUGUAUAGGGGGUGACGCCUGACCAAUGCUAGAAGGUUAACGGUUGCGGUCCCUGUUUUCGGAUAGGGGCCAAGGCCCGAAGCCCUAGUGAAUGUCGGCCGUAAAAACUUGCGGCNNNNNNNNNNNNNNNNNNNNNNNNNNNNNNNNNNNNNNNNNNNNNNNNNNNNNNUCCAUACUUCAUAGUAAUAUGAGGAGUAUAUGAACUAUAACGGUCCUAAGGUGAGUUUUGUUGCCUUAGUAAAAUUCGGCUAUAUGCUGGAAACCUCACAAUACUGUGAGGCAAUCAGCAGGGAAGUCAUCUGUCAUCUGGCAGAUUGACCCCUCAGAGACUACACGCCGAAUCCCAUGUUCUAUUAUGCGGGUGAAUGGGAAAGAUAUAGUCCGAACUGUAUAGUAAUAUACAGAAUCCUUUAAUAGGUAUAACAAUUUAAGCGAAAUUCCUUGGCUGGUAAUUUCAGUCCCGCACGAAAGGCGUCACGACUGGGAAACUGUCUCCACAAGGAGCCCGGUGAAAAUGCAGUGGGGGUGAAGAUGCCCCCUACCUGCGGCAAGACGGAAAGACCCUAGGAGCUUUACUGUAGGUUCUCAUUGGGAUAUUGUUUUAGAUGCGUAGCAUAGCGGGAAGGCUUUGAAACCGCGCUUUCGGGCGCGGCGGAGCCGCCAGUGAAAUACCUGUCUUCUAAGAUGAUAUUUCUAACCUCGUAAAAACGAGGAACAGUGGGUGCUGGGCAGUUUGAGUGGGGCGCUCUUCUCCUAAAAAGUAACGGAGAAGUUUAUAAGGUCGGCUAAGUCCGGAUGGAAAUCGGACUCGUCGUGUAAAGGCACAAGCCGGCUUUACUGCAAGACGGACAUGUCGCGCAGUUGCGAAAGCAGNNNNNNNNNNNNNNNNNNNNNNNNNNNNNNNNNAGAUUAACGGAUAAAAGCUACCCUAGGGAUAACAGGCUAAUAGUGCCCAAGAGUCCAUAUCGACGGCACUGUUUGGCACCUUAAACAAGACAAAUCGGGGUGCUGCGGCAGUAAUGCCGUACCAAAAAUUCGACUAAUAACGGUGAAGCCCGUUUAGAUUUAUGCUAUAAUUGAAAUGAGUGAGGAAAUAAAUAAUUAGAAUUAUUUAUUUCUGAGCGAAUGAAAUUAUAUCUUUAGUAUAAUAUCUAUGUGGGUAAUACCGUGGGAAGUCUAACAUCAACUCAAAAAUCAAUAGUUAUAGGAAGUAUUAUUGGCGAUGGUUCUUUAAGAAGAGCCAGCGGAAGAAAAAAUGCUUUACUGGAAGUAAAUCACAGUUUUGAUUAUAAAGAAUAUGUUGACUGGAAGUAUGAUAAAUUAAAAGAUAUAGUGAUAACACCGCCAAAGCCUCGAAGAGGAAAUGAAGGAAGAGUUGCCUAUAGAUUUACAACCAGAAGUAUUCCAGAGAUUACCGAGUUGUAUAAUAAAUUUUAUGCGAAUGGCAGGAAAUUUAUUCCGAACGAUAUAAAAUUAGAUCCAUUAGUGAUGGCAGUUUGGUUUAUGGAUGACGGUAGCAAAAGCUAUAAAUCAUUGUAUCUUAAUACUCAACGAUUUAAUUCAGAGGACCAGAAGAUACUGAUGGAUAAACUGUUCAAACAGUGGAAUAUACUGUCUUCAUUAAAUAAGGAUAAAAUUUAUUACAGAAUUAGGAUUAGCGUCGAUAGUACGCCUAAAUUCAAAAGAAUUAUUUCUUCAUUUAUACUGCCUAUAUUUGCUUAUAAGUUGAUGUGAUGACCCCGUAGAGACUGAUUCGCCUUUAUGGCGAAGAUAUAGCAGGUCCUCNNNNNNNNNNNNNNNNNNNNNNNNNNNNNNNNNNNNNUGGAGAAGCUCCCAAGCGUUUGGCUGUUCGCCAAUUAAAAAGGUACGUGAGCUGGGUUCAAACCGUUCAGAAGCGAAACUAUUUUUGGCUUUUGAACCCAUUUGAACCCAAGGAAGACAUCAUAACGGCGGCAUUUCACAGUAAUGUGGAAUGAGAAAUCGACUAUAUCGGCGUAAUCCACUUGUGAUAUAACCUGUCAUAUGUUAGGAUAAUACCGAGGGAAGUCGUGUGUAUGAAAAAAAUCGUUUCAUCAGUAAAGAGGAAGAAAUACAUAUUGACCCCGUAGAGACUAAACGUCGAUUAUCCUGUAAAUGCAGGAUNNNNNNNNNNNNNNNNNNNNNNNNNNNNNNNNNUGCCGCAGGCGUUUGAUACUUGAGGGGGCUCGUCCAUUGUACGAGAGGAUCCGGAUGAACAAACCUCUGGUCUGCCAGUUGUCCCGCCCGGGGCAUUGCUGGGUAGCUAAGUUUGGAAGAGAUAAGCGCUGAAAGCAUCUAAGCGCGAAGCUUUCCCCAAGAUGAAGUAUCUUAGAUUGGUGGGAGAUGACCACCUUGAUAGGCCUUAGGUGUAAGUCCCGUAAGGGAUUCAGCCGAGAGGUACUAAUAAAUCGUUUCAAUUA